GGCUGAUUGGCGAAGUGGUCUAGCGUGUCACUAUACUCCCAGAUAUGAUGACAAGAUCAGCUGUUCAAUUCCGCUAGUGGCCA